rnacentral:rRNA from 1 species
AGUGAACGCUGGCGGUAGGCCUAACACAUGCAAGUCGAACGGCAGCACAGUAAGAGCUUGCUCUUACGGGUGGCGAGUGGCGGACGGGUGAGGAAUACAUCGGAAUCUACUUUUUCGUGGGGGAUAACGUAGGGAAACUUACGCUAAUACCGCAUACGACCUACGGGUGAAAGCAGGGGAUCUUCGCACCUUGCGCGAUUGAAUGAGCCGAUGUCGGAUUAGCUAGUUGGCGGGGUAAAGGCCCACCAAGGCGACGAUACGUAGCUGGUCUGAGAGGAUGAUCAGCCACACUGGAACUGAGACACGGUCCAGACUCCUACGGGAGGCAGCAGUGGGGAAUAUUGGACAAUGGGCGCAAGCCUGAUCCAGCCAUACCGCGUGGGUGAAGAAGGCCUUCGGGUUGUAAAGCCCUUUUGUUGGGAAAGAAAAGCAGCAGGUUAAUACCCCGCUGUUCUGACGGUACCCAAAGAAUAAGCACCGGCUAACUUCGUG